GUGGGGAAUUUUGCGCAAUGGGCGAAAGCCUGACGCAGCAACGCCGCGUGAGUGAUGAAGGCCUUCGGGUCGUAAAGCUCUGUCAGGGGGAAAGAACCACCAGGAAGCUAAUACCUUCUUGGUCUGACGGUACCCUCAAAGGAAGCACCGGCUAACUCCGUGCCAGCAGCCGCGGUAAUACGGAGGGUGCGAGCGUUGUUCGGAAUUAUUGGGCGUAAAGCGCGUGUAGGCGGUCUGUUUAGUCUGGUGUGAAAGCCCUGGGCUCAACCCGGGAAGUGCAUUGGAUACUGGCAGACUUGAGUACGGGAGAGGAUAGUGGAAUUCCGAGUGUAGGGGUGAAAUCCGUAGAUAUUCGGAGGAACACCGGUGGCGAAGGCGGCUAUCUGGACCGAUACUGACGCUGAGACGCGAAAGCGUGGGGAGCAAACAGGAUUAGAAACCCGUGUAGUCC
rnacentral:rRNA from 1 species